GUCUACGGCCAUGCCACCCUGAACAAGCCUGAUGUCUGAUCUUGGAAGCUAAGCAGGGCUGGACCUGGUUAGUACUUGGAUAGAAGACCACCUAGGAAGACCAGGUGCUGUAGGCA
rnacentral:rRNA from 1 species